UGGGGAAUAUUGCGCAAUGGGCGAAAGCCUGACGCAGCAACGCCGCGUGAGUGAUGAAGGCCUUCGGGUCGUAAAGCUCUGUCGGAGGGAACGAAUGCUCCUGAAGUUAACAGCCUCAGGAGGUGACGGUACCCUCAAAGGAAGCACCGGCUAACUCUGUGCCAGCAGCCGCGGUAAUACAGAGGGUGCAAGCGUUGUUCGGAAUCAUUGGGCGUAAAGGGCGUGUAGGCGGUUAUAUUAGUCUGAUGUGAAAGACCUAGGCUUAACCUGGGACAUGCAUUGGAAACGGUAUAGCUAGAGUAUGGGAGAGGGAAGUGGAAUUUCCGGUGUAGCGGUGAAAUGCGUAGAGAUCGGAAAGAACACUCGUGGCGAAGGCGGCUUCCUGGCCCAAAACUGACGCUGAGGUGCGAAAGCAUGGGGAGCAAACAGGAUUAGAUACCCAGGUAGUCCCUGAGCGGGCUGGCAAGGCGCAU
rnacentral:rRNA from 1 species